rnacentral:rRNA from 1 species
CGCGUAGGCGGGCAUUUAAGUUGUGGGUGAAAUCCCGAGGCUUAACCUCGGAGCUGCCUGCAAAACUGGGUGCCUUGAGGUAUGGAGAGGGAAGUGGAAUUCCAGGUGUAGCGGUGAAAUGCGUAGAUAUCUGGAGGAACACCCGUGGCGAAGGCGGCUUCCUGGCCAUAUCCUGACGCUGAGGUGCGAAAGCUAGGGGAGCGAACGGGAUUAGAUACCCCGGUAGUCCUAGCCGUAAACGAUGGAUACUAGGUGUUAGAGGUAUCGACCCCUCUAGUGCCGGAGCUAACGCAUUAAGUAUCCCGCCUGGGGAGUACGACCGCAAGGUUGAA